UGCAGACAGCCAAAACCACAUGUUCCACUUUAAAACAUUCUUUGCCCUAAGUUCAUUUUUCCCCUAAAGAUCAGUAACAUCUCAAUGACUAACAUCUUCCCACAUCCUCUGAUUUUUUUUAAAGGGGAGAAGAAAGGGAAAUCCAUUUUCUACCUCCCUGUUUGUACUAUGUCUUCAAACAUUCAUGUGCCAGCCAUUAGUUUUUCUCUGUUAGUAUUUUUUUCCUGUAGUUUGCAUUAUGAUUUGCUCAGUAUAUUACAACAUACUGUUUACUCUUGUUUGUAGGUUCAAGACCUCCACAUAGCUCACCUUUCCUGGGAUUUCAUAGAUGAUGGCCCACUGUUUAGCCAUCAUUCUGCUGAAGCCUCAAUCAAGACCUUACCAGCUUCAGAAGGAGCAGUGUUAGGCACAGGCAGUUGCAUCUUGAAGCUAAUGUUCAUCAAGGGAACUUGUGCAGUGGAAUCUGGUGAGCCUUGAAAUGAGUAAGAGCUGCUUUACUACAGCCUGUGUCUACCAAAAUAUAUGACCUAGAAGUGUCUAUCUGCCUUUCCUGUGCUCACUGCUGUUGGUCAUGAAAAACAAGGGACAUCAUAGCUGAACAUUUUCCUGAAUGACAUUUGAGCAUGAUGAUCUGUAUCCAGUACAGCAUUUGCUGAGAGAUCUUCUCUGAGGAAAUGAUGCUUGAAUGCAACUGCAUGCAUUAGGAGAACAAGAAUUCCUUCUCCAACAGAACACGCUUUGUUUAGCACCAGCAAUACCACAGGUGAAGACCAAAUGGAAAACCUUUCAACAUAAACAGAGAAAACAAUAUAACACAACUGGCAAGCUUUUAAUCUCUAGUGUCACAAGGAGACACUGUCAGGAUUAGAAUUUAACACAUGGAAGCCAGCUGUAGCAACUAAAUAUCUCAAGUAAACUUGUUCUUAGAUAAUGAAAUCCAUUCAUGAGGAAUAUCACAGAAAACUGGAGUGACCUGAAGAAACUCAGAAGAGAUUACCAGAUUUAUUCUUGGAAAGGCAAAAAAGUGGAGCUCAAAGCCUGACAGACUAAAAAUGUGAUUGUUAAUUGAAAAGUUAUAUCUCCAGAUACUCAAAGAACAUUUUUUAAAGAUAACAUGUUGCAUAAUAUAUUGCAAAACCACCCAUAAGUGUAUGUAAAGCAAACUAAGACAAAAUCAGAAAACCAGUUACAUUCAGAAAUACAGCUGGACAUUCUGUGAAAAACUGCUAAAAUUACCUGAUCAGAAUUCUCGCUUUACCAUGACCUCAGUAUUAAGAAAACCAGGCUGCUAUGCUGCCCUGGAACAGACAGGGAAACUAAUCUGAGGAAAUGGUGACUUACAGAAAGACUCUACUAUACUGGGGUUAUACCAAAUGUGACAUAUAAUAUCUCAAUGCAACGGUGCAGCUAAAUACAAGAUGUAUUUGAUGGAUGCUCUAAGAUUGCUCUUUGCCCCUUCCAUGAUAAGUGCAUUAGGAGGACACCAUGGAAAAGACAAGGAGCAACUUUGGGUGAUCUAAUAACUCUGUAGUUAUUAGAGGAGCAGCCACUCAUACCUAUCAUGCUUGCUGGUGUGAAACUGUGUGUUGCAAACAUAACUAAGAUGUUCCUGCUGCUACGGACCCUCUAGCUGUUAAAAUGCAUUGGAAUCUCCAGGUAACAUUAUUCAUUGUGUUCAUCUGAGCAGGCAGAAGUGACAAGUAGAUUAAGAGUUUCUUGUGCGUUUAGACAUGACAAGUUAAAAGCUUUCACUACCCUUUAAAAACAUUUACAGUAAACUGAUGUCCUUAAUUGGCUGUCGAAGAAGCACAAAUGUUUAAAUCAUUUGAAGCCUGUAAUAAAGCUUAAUUAAAGGUAAAAUAACUUUUCUAUACAUUUUACAUGGGCUUUUGCUAUACAUCAAGUAAAAUUCAGGUUUGAACUCAAACUUUUAAUAAGUCCUUAAUAAAAUGGAUCUCAGUGUCAUAUUGCUUGGUUAGGGACCUGAUUAGAAGCUAUUCAACAUUAAUGAGAGUAAUUUUAUUAAAGGCUUUUAGAAUCAGUCCCAUGUAAACCGGGCCAAGUUAACAAAGUCUAAUGUGUGUGUAAUGCAUUUGUCUGCGCAUCCAGUGCUAUUCAUGCAUGCAGCUGGUCUGCACAGCUCACUGAAUGGGAAGAUAAGCAUACAUAGAGGUGGCUUAGAGCUCACCUUUAAACUCCGCUGAUUUUACUGCAAACCUUAUCUUUUUUUCCCCUGCUCUAUCUUAUACUAGUCGGAAAUUCUCUCAAAAGACAGAUGCAGGUCACCAAGUUGUUAAGAUGUAAAACUGUAUUACAAAUUUCUUACUACAGUGCCACAACGAGAAUGAGCAGUGAAAUUUGAACCUACUUGGAUCUGUUUCUUCCAGCAACACAACACAAAAGAGCUGUACUGUGCUGGAGGUUUUAACAAUGUGAGUGCAGGAGCUCACUGUCAAACUUUCAUAGUUAGAAUAUUCUUUUCACAUUUGGAUGUAGAUGUAUCCCAUGUCUGUGAGCUAUGCAGGGAGAGGGAUGAGGGGAUAAAGACUGCAUAACAUGUACACACAUGUAAGAAAUAUAUUUUUGCAGUCCCCAAGCAAACAAAGAAUGAACCAAUUUGCUUUCAUAAUCUAUUUUGUUUUCACCUUCUCCUGAUGCCUAUAGGCAAAAAUCCACACAUUAAAAUGGCGAAUUUUUCAAAGUUUUGAAUUGUUGCCUAAAAUGUUGUACAAAUUUUUGUGUAAUAUUUACUGCUACUGGAGCUCUCACAUGAAGCCAAGUGGUCCACAUGGAAGUGAAAAUAUCUGUUUCAUCAAGUUUUCUCUACGGAUGUGUGUUAUUUUUUUUUUAAAGUUCAGCUGGACUUUAAAAAUUAAAUUGAUAUCCCAUCAGUUUUUGUCAAGUUACUGCAUGAUAUUUUUUAGGGGUGGUCAGUUGUCUGACUCCAGUUUGUUUGUAUGUUUAGAAGCUGUCACAGAGUAAUUUUUUUUUUUGCAAAAUUAUCUGUAGAAUUUUUAAGCCUGGACAUGAUACUUCUGUUAAAUUCACAGGCAAUUUGAUUUUUUUUAUAGCAAAUUUGAAAAAUCAGGACUAAAAGGCAUUGUUGACAACACAAUAAAUCUUGUUACAGGUGUCUGUUGGUCUCUUUAAUUUUCCUUUCAGUUAAAUAUUUAACGGCAAUACUCAGAUUUUUAGGCUUUUAUGUGUUUCUGAGUCUGAAGGACCAGAAUCAGGCUUGUAACUGUGCCUUGUGAGACAGCAGUUUCUUACUUUGUUCACACUGUUCUUUGAAGAUCAAGAUUUCACAUGCAUAGAAGUAUCUAGUGUGAAUGAAGGUAGAGUCUUGAAAGAUUCUUUGUAAGCCUCCAGUUCUUAUUGAAGUAUAAAAUGUUCUUUCAAUAAGGAAAAGAGAUCAUAUUGUGCUAUAUGUCUCAAUUAGUGACCUAUUUUUUCUUUGUGAGGAGGGGAGUAGACAAACAGGUACCUGAGACUAAUCUCUUUUUCCUUCUGCAACUUUUACAGUGCAGACUACUCUGUUGUUCUUUGUGGUGGUUCCUCUCUGAUUCAUAGUUUGGUUCAGUUAUCCAUUCUAAACCACUUUGCAGAGAACAGAGGUAUAUCAGUGUUUGCAGAGUGUGCCAUCCCCUUCCUGCCUGGGAAGCAGGAACAGAGCAUGGGGUGCUGUUGUGAUGAUGACCUUUGGCAAACUGAGAUGCAAAGCACCGCGCAGGAAUUUCCUCCAGCACAAAGGAUUCCAAAAAAAAUAAAGAAGUAAAACUACAUGGACAAUGGGCAGAAUGUCAUCCAUAGACCUGAAGGCAGAGUUUAAAGAAAGGAAAGCCAGCCAGCCCUGACUCAGACACUACCUCUCUGGCCUUGCACAGACUUCUCCGUGUCUCUUCCUUGAUUUGCCUAUCUUGAAAAUGGGGUAAUAAAACUUACUUACCUGUC